rnacentral:lncRNA from 1 species
GUGUAGUGCAACCCUGUGGGGGUUUCCAGUUCCACUUGAAGGGAAGGAUAACCUAUGGAAGACAGUACAUUUGGACUGACUGGAAUGAAUUAGAAUACAUCAAACAAAAACACAUGGAAUGACUAAAAUUAUAUCAGGCAUGAAAAAUGUAUGAUGAAUUACAGAUUAAUGUCAAUAAAUUUAUCGGUUUAGUUCAAUUAAAUGUAACACAAUGAAAUAAAAAGCCUAGUGCAAACUCCAAUAAAAUAGAAUACUAAUUAAGAUAUCAAUUGUUUCUGUUUUGGAAAUUAUGAUACAAUAAGUAAAUAUGCACACUAAUCCAAAGUAUGCAGACUAAAUAUAUAAAGUUUAUAUAUUUAAGUUUAUAUAAAGACCAAUAUAAAGUUAGUUGUCAUUACAUGAGAUACUUAUUAUCUUUCUAUAUUUAGCAUGCGAAGUUCAUACUGUGGUGGACUGAAUACAGCAAGCCACAAGAAACCAAUUUUUAUCAUUAAUUACCUACAACUUUUAUAUUAAUUACCUACAACUUAUUUUAAGAACUGUACAUAUGAGCAAAGCAACCUAGUUCUUCUUUCACAUGAAAUUAUAGCACAGAAAAACGGAUUUAAUCUUUGGAAAGAAAUGAUUGUUUGUUAGAUUUUAGAGCAGUGGCACUGGGAAAAAAAUUUUAAACGAUGUUAAGAAAAGGAUUGAAAAAACAGACCAAGUUUAAAAGACUCCAUGUAGUUUUAGGGUGUUGUACAAAAACAGAUAUGACCAAGAUGAAAGGGUUGUGGAGUACAUGAAGGUCUUGGUGAAGUCAGUGGUAGGGUCCACUCAGAACCACGAAUCAAAUAAACAGAAAUGAUACACAACAGAGAUAGUAGGAAAACCAUUCGCAGGGAGCACUCUGAAUAUUCACGACAAUGCUAUGAAACAUAGAGUUUAUUAACCAGCCUACACAAAAGGGGAGGGGGGAACGAAUCCCUUGUUUUAAACAUUGCUGCAUGGACUAUGGAAGCAUUUUUCUGCCUCAGCAGAGAGAAAAGUCAACAAUGGUCUGGUCAUGGUGAGGAAAGGAAGUUUCAUAAAAGUUCAACGAAGAGGAGAGACAGGAAAAAAGCAACAAACCACAGUUUCUGAAUUGUUGGUCUACAAAAUAAAAGUCUAAUUUUUCCAUCAGUCCCAGGUAAAUACCAACUUAGCUGCUGUUGUAAACUCAAAUUGCUAUAGGUAAGUGAACAUUUUUCAGUUAUGGUCAUCUAUAAACCAGACUCUUGUUGAAAAGCUGGCUAAGAUUAGCUGAGGUUUAUAAUCUGCCUAAGUGAAAUUACUUCAUAUACAUGUUUCUAAAUUUCCCUAAGAAAUUUUGAAAAAGGAAUUUAAAAAUAUUAAGAUACAGCAACAAAAAGCCAUUUCAUUUUUGACUGUAUUUUAAGGAUAUUCCAAUUUUAAAAUGUUCAAAUUAAAUGAAGCUUUCAACACAACUACUUCUGUUGUGUUCUGGUGAUCUUUUUUAUUAGAGUUACUUAACAACUAUUUUUUCCAAUAAAGAAUAUUAGAAGAAUGUAUAAACUAUAACUUAUCAAUAAUUUAAAAUUUGAUAAGAUGAUCUAUAUUUAUCUAGUGCAAAAAGCAUGUGGUUACUAAUAUAUGGCCUUGCAUAUAAGACAAGGCCUCAAAGGGAGCGUUUUUCCAAGGUUCUAUGGUCUUUAUAAACUUAAAAAGAACCGCUUUUUACUUCAUUACCCAUUGUGUUUGUUACAUGUAUAACAAGUAUGCUUUAAAUCUUUUGUUGACUUAAACUUUUUUUUUUUUUAAGAGACAGACAGUGCUUGGCCAGACUUAAACUUUUUAAUAAGCAGGAACUUUCUAAGAAUUUUAAGAUUUUUUCCACAAAAUAUAUGCAGAAUUAGAAGUUAAUUAGAAGUUUGUGACUCUUGUUAAUCUAACUUUGCCAGUUUAAAAAUGGAAUACUAGAAAAAUAUCCUUAGUUCUUAUUCCUGCCUCCACACCAUCAUCAAAUUUUCUACUCAAAAUUCA